AUUCUGGAAGCCCUGUGUUUUUCUAUGAGUUCCAGCAUCGACCCAGUUCUUUUGUGAAGAUCAACCCCGCCUGGGUGAAGGCUGAUCAUGCGGCUGAGGGUGCUUUUGUGUUUGGAGGUCCCUUCCUCAUGGAUUAGAGCUCCCGCCUGGGUGAAGGCUGAUCAUGCGGCUGAGGGUGCUUUUGUGUUUGGAGGUCCCUUCCUCAUGGAUUAGAGCUCCCGCCUGGCCUUUCCAGAGGCCACAGAGGAGGAGAAGCAGCUAAGCCUCACCAUGAUGGCCCAGUGGACCCACUUUGCCCGGACAGGGGACCCCAAUAGCAAGGGUCUGCCUCCUUGGCCCCGAUUCAACCAGGCGGAACAAUAUCUGGAGAUCAACCCAGUGCCACAGGCCGGACAGAAGUUCAGGGAGGCCUGGAUGCAGUUCUGGUCAGAGACGCUCCCCAGCAAGAUACAACAGUGGCACCAGAAAUAGAAGAACAGGAAGGCCCAGGAGGACCUCUGAGGCCAGGUCUGAACCUUCUUGGCUGGGGCAAACCACUCUUCAAGUGGUGGCAGAGUCCCAGCAGGGCAGCCCGCCUCUCCCCCUGCUGAGACUUUAAUCUCAACCAGCCCCACAUGGAGUCAUGUUCCUUAAAGCGUCGGCCGCUCUGUGACUGGCAUUAUGCUCUUUUGAAAUGUCAUAAGGCUGCCUCCCACCUCUGGGCCAUUGUACAAGUUCUUCCCUCUCCCUGAAGUGCCUUUCCUGCUUUUGUUGUGGUAGGUUCUAGCACAUUCCUCUAGCUUCCUGGAGGACUCACUCCCCCAGGAAGCCUUCCCUGCUUUCUCUGGGCUGUGCAGCCCCGAGUCUGCAUCCAUUAGAGCACAGUCCACCCAAGGCUAGCACUGUGUCUGUGUCUGU